GGAUAGCUCAGUUAGUUAGAGCGCGGUGCUGAUAAUGCCAAGGAUAUAGGUUCAAUCCCCGUAUGGGACA